CCUACGGGAGGCUGCAGUGGGGGAUAUUGCACAAUGGGGGGAACCCUGAUGUAGCGACGCCGCGUGGGUGAAGAAGCGCCUCGGCGCGUAAAGCCCUGUCAGCAGGGAAGAAAAUGACGGUACCUGAAGAAGAAGCCCCGGCUAACUACGUGCCAGCAGCCGCGGGAAUACGUAGGGGGCAAGCGUUAUCCGGAUUUACUGUGUGUAAAGGGGGCGCAGACGGCGAUGCAAGCCAGGAGUGAAAGCCCGGGGCCCAACCCCGGGACUGCUCUUGGAACUGCGUGGCUGGAGUGCAGGAGGGGCAGGCGGAAUUCCUGGUGUAGCGGUGAAAUGCGUAGAUAUCAGGAGGAACACCGGUGGCGAAGGCGGCCUGCUGGACUGCAACUGACGUUGAGGCCCGAAAGCGUGGGGAGCAAACAGGAUUAGAUACCCCUGUAGUC
rnacentral:rRNA from 1 species